rnacentral:rRNA from 1 species
GAUGAACGCUGGCGGCGUGCCUAAUACAUGCAAGUCGAACGCAUUGUGGUUGAAAUGAUAUGAAGAACUUGUUCAGAUUUGAUUUUCAACAUUGCAAUGAGUGGCGAACGGGUGAGUAACACGUGGGAAACCUACCUCUUAGCAGGGGAUAACAUUUGGAAACAAAUGCUAAUACCGUAUAAUAUUAAAACCGCAUGGUUUAGUUUAAAGAUGGUCUUGCUAUCACUAAGAGAUGGUCCCGCGGUGUCUUAGUUAGUUGGUGAGGUAAUGGCUCACCAAGACAAUGAUACAUAGCCGAGUUGAGAGACUGACCGGCCACAAUGGGACUGAGACACGGCCCAUACUCCUACGGGAGGCAGCAGUAGGGAUCUUCCACAAUGGACGAAAGUCUGAUCGGAGCAACGCCGCGUG